CAUAAUCUCUUCAUCCUUUUACAUUUUGGGGAACAUAUGAGGCCAGUUACAGAGGAAGCAAUUUCGUCUUUCAAUUCUAUCUACAAUGUUUAGUCUUUUCUUAUCUGUUCUACACAUCUUUUUAACUAAACUUCUCCAGUUUUACAACCUAGAACAGCCUAAUAUUGUCCAUCCUUCAUUGAGAGGCCUUUGAUGAGGCACUGGCUUUCCAAAAGUUCUUUUGCACGUGCCUUUGUAAAUUAUCUAGAACUCUUCCCUUCCUAUCACUAGAGUUCCAUAUUUGGCUGUUGUUCAUUCAAGAGGGAGAUUGUGGUCUUUCACUGCAUCUGGCUGCUUGCUCAAAAGAUAUUUCCUUCCUGGUUCUUAAGCACCAUGGAGAACCACACCCAAAAACCAGCUAUUGGAUUGGAAAGCCAAGCCACUCAAGUACCACAUUGGUCAUCAUAUUUUAACCAAUGUGGGACAAAGGCAUUCGAUACUACCUUGGUUCCUAACGUUUUCACAGACAGUCUUUCGAAAUAACAUUACCUGGAGUGGGAUUGAAAGGAGGUUUUCCGGUGAAUUUGUCGUUUGAAUCGCUUUUUUGGUUUUUUCUGUUCCAAAAUUCUAGCCUCUCCAUUAUCCAUCAAACUUGACCAUUUCUUCUUGAUGCCCAAUAUUAAUUUUAUGAAGUUAUGUCAAUUUAAGUAAAGUUUGCUGUUUAUUUAUUUUAUUUUAAAAGUAAAGUUUUCUGUUCAUUUGUUGUCAGCAGAACAUUUACUUUUCUUCUCCCAACAAUAGUCAUGUUGUUUACUGACAUAGAUUUAUUAAAUUAUAAUUUAGAAAAGAAAAAUUGUAAUGGACAGCGAAGUAUAUUGGUGUAUUUGGACGGUUUUUGAGUAUUACAAUUAUAGCAAAUUGCUUUGAAUUUUUAUUUUUCACUUUUCUUAGUUGUGUGAUACAUGAAACACAAAAACCAUCCAUGACAUUGACAUUGAUAAUGAGAUUUCUAUUUUACAGAUAUUCAAAUAUCGAUAUCAACAAUUAUUUUUAUAAAUUAAUAAAACUAUAAGAUUUGUUUAAAUUAAUAAUUAAGUUGUUCUUUCUCUCAAAUUAAGUUAUAGUCAUAGCUUUUUUGAUGUAGUAGGAAUAGGUAUUAUGGUCAAAUCCUUAAUUUAUUAGGAUUAGGAAUAAGAUGAGUUUCUUCGGUUUAAUAGGAUUAGGAUUAGUUUCUUUUAUUAUUUAGAAUUAGGAUUAGUUUCUUUUACUUUUUAGAAUUAGGAUUAGUUUCUUUUAUUUUUUAGAAUUAGGAUUAAGUCUCUUUUAUUAUUUAGGAUUGGGAUAAGUUUCUUUUAUUAAUUAGGAUUAGGAUUAGGAUUAGGAUUAGGAUUAGUUUGCUUUUGCUAUAAAUAAAGUACUUGUUUUCUUGUAUUUACAACUUUUGAUAUUCAAGAAAAUUCUCACAUUUGGAAUAGCCAAUCGGUAUCGAAACUCCAAGAAACUUGAACCUGAUGGCGAGUGAGAAGAAAGCCUACCGGCAGUGACCGAUUGACUAGGGGUGAUCAUUGGUUGGUCGAAAUUGGUUUUCAACCAAACCGCCACCCAAUCAACUAUGGUUGGUUUAGUAAACGUGCAAACCGAUCUCGAUCGUCGAUGAGUAAAUGUUUGUCGGUUUAAUAUUUUGAAAUAUUUUUAAAAAUUUCUCGAUUUGGAACUUCCCCAAACCGGCAUCGACCAACCCCUCUCAUUCUCCGACCGAUAGACUUCGGUUUGUUCGGUGGCUCGAUUUUUUGGUCUAUCAUGCUCACCCUUAUCCGUGACAACCUUUGAAGAGGAGGAGCAAACAACUGCCCUAUCACUGAAGACAUCAACCCGACACUUGUGGUCAAUGAAAAGCUCUAUUGCUGGUAUCUUUUGUUUAGUCGAACCGAACGCAUGCUCUUGCCACUCAAUCAAUUAGAAAACAAUAUCAAUUUUCUGUGGCCAUAAAUUGGAAAUAAGCUACCUAAUUUGAAAGAGAAAACGUCCUCGAAAAUUGAGGAAAAAUCAAGGAAUAUUCCAUCUAAAAUUUCAAACAUGAAAGAGAAUACGAUCGUAACUCUAAGCGUCGAAGUGAAAAUCGAUGACAACAAAAAGCGGGGAGCUAUUGCUACCUUGGACGAAGAAGAUGAAGUUGGCAGUGUUGCAGAGGGAACCGAACCAAUCAAAAUUGAUGUUUUUGCACACAAAAAUGAAGAAACAAUUUGCUACAAGGAUGAAGAUGAAUUUUGGACUACACUAAUCUUGGAAGAACCACAAUUUACACAACAAUCAAUAAAGGAAGAAGAAGGAGCAAUAUGAAGUGGAUGUUUUCACUAUCCUUUCGCCGGUUUUCCUUUUUUUUUUUAAUUAACCUUAAAUGUCCACAACCCUCCUUAUUGGAUAUUAUUGAUGUUGGAUGUUCCCCCAAUGUCUCCAUUCGACUAGGUUAUUUUUUUUAUUUUUCCCUUCAUUUUCGUUUUAAAACUUGAGGACAAGUUAUUUUAGGGAUAAGAAUGAUGUAGUAGGAAUAGGGUAUUAUGGUCAAAUCCUUAAUUUAUUAGGAUUAGGAUUAGUUUGUUUGGUUUAUUAGGAUUAGGAUUAGGAUUAGGAUUAGUUUCUCUUAUUAUUUUUUUUUGAAAUGAAGACAAGUCUAUUUAUUAUUAAUAAAUGAGAUUUAAGCUCAAAGUACAAGAGUGUUAUACAAAGAGCAAGAUAAAAGAGAAGAAUUCAAUCAAUAACAAAAGCUAAACUUAGGCAACAAAGGAGAUGACAAGCUAAAAAAACGAAUUCCAACAGAAAAAAAAUCAAGCUAAACAGAACCACAGCCAUAGAUAUCUAAAUACAAAGGAUAACAAAAAAUUUAUCUCAUAAGGAACCCAAUUGAAUCUAAAAACUUGCAAGAAGAUGUAACCGGCUGCCUUGUAGCUGUCUUGGCAUAUUAAUCCAAAAUUUAGAGGAAGCUCGAAAAAGUCUUUCAAAACACCAGCAUCAGCAGAGAGGCUAUACUUGCCACCCACAUGAAGAGAAAUCCAAGAAAUACUGAAGUUGGUCCAACAUCUCUAAAUGGCAACCAGCUCCUUUUAGCUUCUAAUGGAACAUAUAUUUGCUUUCUUGCCCCCAUCUUCUGCCAAACCACGCAUUCCAUAGUUUCUCUUAUUGUUUAGGAUCAGGAUUAAGUUUCUUUUAUUAAUUAGGAUUAGUAUUAGUGCACUUUUGCUAUAAGUAAAGUACUUGUCUUGUACUCACAACUAUUGAUCAAUAAAAUUUUCUCUUUUGUAUA